UCCCUGGUUGCCUAGUGGUUAAGGAUCCAGAAUUGUUACUGCUACGGCUCAGGUUCAAUCCCUGGCCAGGGAA
rnacentral:tRNA from 1 species